rfam:Brachypodium distachyon strain Bd21 chromosome 5, whole genome shotgun sequence.
AUACCUUUCUCGGCCUUUUGGCUAAGAUCAAGUGUAGUAUCUGUUCUUAUCAGUUUAAUAUCUGAUAUGUGGGCCAUGUGCCCACAACGAUAUUAAAUUUAUUUUUCGUGGGGGAGGGUCCACCACAGUGGCUUGCCGCUGGGGCCCUCGCGUGUCGCCUGGGCGUUGCACUACUGCCCAGGCCUGGCGCACCCCAA